rnacentral:tRNA from 1 species
GGAGACAUACUCAAGUGGUUAAGAGGGCAUCUUGGAAAGGUGUUAGAGGCGUAAGCUGUCAAGCGUUCGAAUCGCUUUGUCUCCGCCA